rnacentral:rRNA from 1 species
AGCGAACGCUGGCGGCAGGCCUAACACAUGCAAGUCGAACGAACUCUUCGGAGUUAGUGGCGGACGGGUGAGUAACACGUGGGAACGUGCCUUUUGGUUCGGAAUAACUCAGGGAAACUUGUGCUAAUACCGAAUGUGCCCUUCGGGGGAAAGAUUUAUCGCCAUUAGAGCGGCCCGCGUCUGAUUAGCUAGUUGGUGAGGUAACGGCUCACCAAGGCGACGAUCAGUAGCUGGUCUGAGAGGAUGACCAGCCACACUGGGACUGAGACACGGCCCAGACUCCUACGGGGGGCAGCAGUGGGGAAUCUUGCGCAAUGGGCGAAAGCCUGACGCAGCCAUGCCGCGUGAAUGAUGAAGGUCUUAGGAUUGUAAAAUUCUUUCACCGGGGACGAUAAUGACGGUACCCGGAGAAGAAGCCCCGGCUAACUUCGUG